CCUACGGGAGGCAGCAGUGGGGAAUCUUAGACAAUGGGCGCAAGCCUGAUCCAGCCAUGCCGCGUGAGUGAAGAAGGCCUUAGGGUUGUAAAGCUCUUUCGUUGGGGAAGAUAAUGACGGUACCCGAAGAAGAAGCCCCGGCUAACUUCGUGCCAGCAGCCGCGGUAAU
rnacentral:rRNA from 1 species